GGCGUUCUUGGGUAACAUGUAGCUCCCCGGGCGGUAAGGACCUGCCUAACUUGAUUAGAAUGUAUGUAUGUUUACCAUUCCCGAACAAGGCGGUUAAGGGUUAGGUUAUGUAUGUUGUCCCAACAUGCCAGGCAUCGUAUUGUUUAAGAGACGUUGGUUGACAGGAAGCGAUGACUUGGUCUUGCCUUGUUUCAUAUUAGCUCUUCUUCAUUUUACCUUGUAGGUUGAUUGUAAUCAUUGUAUAUGUGACGACCUCACCGGACAUUGUUCAAUAUUCAAACGUGGAUUUGAAUUAUCUGGUUGGUCGAAAUGCUAAUGCGAGUUUCAUAACCAAAGUGUCAUGCGCUCAAAAAGUUAGACGCAUUUCCUUUGGUUAUGUGGGGUUGCUUGCUGGAGCCACACUUCUGGAGUUGACUAUUGCAAGGUUUAGCAUGUUGGGGACAAUAUUAAACGCAGAGAAAAGGGAACCAAUCAGUUAUUUUCUUUACUUUCGAUUUGUUGUUGGUAUCUCGGAAUUGGCGUAUACGAUUGGUGCUGCUGUACAUCUAUCUGGAAACUGGGAUAAAUGUCACUCAAUAUUAUCAUCCUAUAAUAUACCCAUAGGUAUGUAGACUAACCUAUCA